rnacentral:lncRNA from 1 species
UUCUCUCAUUUUUUUCUGUUUGAUUUCUUUGUUUUAUGUUUUGCAAAUCUCUUCUCUCGGUUUCUUGCUUGCUUCUUUUCGUGUCGACAAGAAGAGCAAUUGACGAAAGCUGUGAACAAUUAUUUCAAGGAAGGUCAUUUUGGCCAACCAUUGAUGCUUAUAUUGAGGUGAACAAAACCCGUAUUUUGUUUUAUUUUUCAAUUAAUGAUUUUAUUAGUUUUGUUUUGUUUUCUUUUAUACAUUAAUUGUUUUUCUUUUUCCUUUUUUUUUUUUUGUUUUGUCUAAAGGUGAUUACUUUAUGCCUUAAUUUUGCUGUGUUAUGAACGAAUCAUGCUUUUCCCAUCGCAGGCGCAAGUAUGAAUGCUUGAUGAUAUUUUUUCAAGUAAUUCUUUUUUUUUUUCUUAUAGAAAAUGGGUUUUUUUAACAUGUUUUUAUUUCUUGGUAUCGUUUGGUUAUUUGUUUCAUGCAGUGAUUGGUAGAAGAGGAUUGUUUGAGAGCUGUUCAGCUUGACCACAAUUCUGUCGAGGUAAUCUCCUUUAUUUUUUAUUUUGUUUUGCUGAUUUUUUUUAUUAAGAAUAAUGCGUAAUUAACAUGAAAACCCAUGUACCCAUGGAUGGCGUGAAAGAGUUUGGCGUUUCUUUGGGUUUUAACUAAAUGCUUUCUUUGUUGCUCAUGCUUUAUUUUUGUUGGCUUUUCUUUCUUUGUAGCUUAUGGUUUGUUUUUUUGGAUCUUAUUAUCUUAUUUAUUUAGGUUGUUGAGUUUUUUGUUGAUAGCUCACGGUUUUUUAUUUUUUAUUUUUUUUGCAUGUCCAUGCUUGUAAUAGUCAUGGAUUUUGUAAGUCCUUUUUGGUAAGGAGAUGUGGUUAGUGGAUUUGCAGUGGAGUGGAAGGAAAUUUAGAGGGCAGUGGGAGAAGGGGAGAGCCUUUGGUGUUUUGUUGGCUUAGAUUGUUUGAGUUGUUGAGUUUUCUGAUAGCAUCAACUGAGGUUGAAAUUUUUAAUUUUUUGUUUAGGGAUUGUACGUGGAAUGCAUGGUAAAAAUUAUAUGAAUAAAUAAUGAGUUUUUGUACAUAAAACUUUUUAAGGUUGAAAGAUACCAAGUCAAUAGAAGGUUCAGAAAAGAAAACAAAAGAUAAUAUUUAUAGUGGUUCGGUCUACUUGAUCUACAUUCACUAUCUUAAUUUUCUUAAUUAAAGAUUUUCAACACAAAUUCAUUAAAAUCAAUAAAAUUAACGGCUUCCACUACGCUUUUAUAAAGUGAGUUUUAAACUCAAGAUCUAAGCUUUCUUAAGCUUAGUAAACCCUUUAAAGUGCCUUGCACAUUCUAAUCAAUCAAGAAAUGAAGAAAAUAUAGAGUAUAAUUGAUCACCUCGCUGAUAUAAGAUGUACAGCUUCAAGCUUAAAUACUUUACAAAGAAUUGGAGUAAAAUACAAGUGUAAAAAGAAGAUUUUUGGUCUUUUAAGUGCAAAAUCACUAUUGGUAGUUUCUCUCUAUAAUUUUUGAUUGUUAGAGAGUUUUUAAAUAUUUAGGAGAUUGAUUCUAGGAAUUAGUGACAGUUUUUAAUCGUUACUAGCCGUUAUUUUGUCCUUUAACGACUCUUUUCAAAUAGGCAAAUAGUGUUCCGUUAACUAAUUACAGGCAAGCUUUACUAAAUUAUAGCUUAUAUGUCUUGCACAGUUUGGCUACGCUAUUCAUUGUGUUAACCGCUCAACCGAUUAAAGGAAACUUUAACUGAUUAGAACCUUUCUGUUUUUAUUUUUCUUUACACAACAGUCUUCUUUUAAUUUCUUAGCUCUCCUUUUAAUUAGUUGAGGCUUGAUUUCCUUCAACAUUAACUAAUUAAUAUCAACUUUAGCCAAUUAAAAUUUUUUGAAUUUGAAUUUCUUCAUUUUGGCUCCCUUUAACGAUUUUUUUUUUGUUACUUACGAACCAAAAUUGGCUCCCUUCAAUGGUUAACUUCAUUUUAAAUUUGGAUUUUGGCACUUCAAGGUUCAUUAAGUCUUGUGUUUUAACCGAUUAACCUUAUUUCUUAACCGAUUAGCACUCUUCUGUCUUUAGCUUCCAACACUUGCUUUAUCAAUUAAGCUUUGUGGUAACUAAUUAAGGUUUUUUUGUCUUUGCAUCUAGUAUCCUUUUUAAUCAGUUAAACCUUGUGCUAAUUGAUUAAGACUUCACUGCUUUGCUUUUUGUAUAACGCCUAGUUUUACCUUAACUAAUUAAGGCUUUACAUUAAUCAGUUAACAAUCUUCUGUUUUCAUUAAACCUUUUUUUCUUUUCUUCUUUAACUGAUUAACUCAUUUUCUUGAGUUACUUUCAAAUAACAAAUAUAUUAAGGAUUUUAAACUCUGUCCUGCACACUUAAAUAAAGUAAUCAAAUAUUAAUGAAUGUGAAUAUUUUGUUAUCACCAAAAAUAUAUUGAGGCAACAUAUUGUUUAUUAAUUAUUAACUAGAAAUAUUAUUUAGUUAAAUAUUAAUUACUUAUAUAUCUAUGUAUUAAUAAAUAAUACAAUAUAUUUAUUAAAAAAUUAUAAACAAAUCUAAUUUUAUUUUAUUCUUUAUAUAUAAUAUAUUGUUAAUUAAUUAUUAACUAGAUUUAUUAUUUUGUAAAAUACCAUUAAGGGGUUUAGGUGCAAAUGAAUUAUAACAGAUAGAAGAUAUGCACUAGCCAAAUACGACACUCCUGGCCUUAACGGCGGCUUUGGCCUUUUAUCUAUCGGUAUAAUUCAUAAGACUUAAGGAUUCAUCUUCACUGCUCAGCCUUUUGUAUUGAAGAACAGAAUUUUUUCUGUUGCACAAGAUCCAUUAACAAUGGUAAGUGCAGAGCAUAUUCGAAGGAUAUGAUCUUAUGACUGUACUGUAAAUAUUUUGCUAUAGUAUUUCUUAAAAAAAAAUAGAGAAUUUAGAAAGACAUGUUUAAGAUAAAAAGAGGUUUUGUUUUCUGAAAUCGAUCUUGUAUUUUACAUUGAAUCCCUUCAUAUUUAUAGACAAAGGGACAUAUAUAAGACAAACUAGUUGGAUAAGUAUGACAAACUUAUCCGAGACUUGGACUUUUAUAAUAUAUUUUGUUCUUGAAAAUUCCUGAAUAAGAAAUCUGCAAGAUGGUUCUUCUUCCCUUGGAUGUGUUUGGUGUCAAAGGAGUAUUUUGAAAACCAUUCUGCCCACCUUAACAACUGAGGAUGAGGGACUGUCUUUUGCUUGAACUUGAGCAUUUGGGAAAAUGAUGACAUAUCCAUUUCAACCAGAAAAUGGUGACCAAUGAGGCGAAAUUCAAAUUUUGUGAUGACUUUUUUAACUACAAGGAUUUUCUUGAAAGUGGAAUGAUAAUGUAAUUCUGAAUUUGAAAACUUUCCACUCUUGUAUGCACAAAGAUUUCUCUUAUCAUGCUUUUCUUCAAGAAGAACUACUCCCUAAUAUUUAUCACUGACAUCAGUUUGUAAAAUCUUUUUUCUAUCAAAAGGUAUUUGCAAUGGUUGUAAAUUUUGCACUUUUUUCUUGAGAUUUUGUAUUGCUCUUGUCUGGGCUAGUCCCUAUUCUGGAGGAUCUUUUUUAGGAAUCUUUCUCAAAGGAUUUGUGCAUAUUGAAAGUUUGGGGAUGAAAUCUCUAAGAUAGUUUACUAUUCCAAGAAACUGUUGAACUUGCUUUUUUGUGAUAUUUUGAUUUGAGAAUUUAAUAAUUCUUGUGAGAUAUGCGGGUUCAGCUUGUAUUUUCUUUGGAGAAUAUGCAUACCAAGAAAGUCUAUCUCUGACUUGAAUAUCUGCAUUUUUUGUUCUAAAAGCAUGACACCAUAUCGGAAGAUGAGUUCCGAGAAUCUUUGGAGGAGUUGAAUAUGAUUUUGUUCUAUUGGGCUGAACAGAAGAAUGCCAUCAAUGUAAAUGAGAGUUGAGUCAAGGAUGAGUUCAAAGAUUUUUAUCAUGGCCUUUUGAAAUAGUGAUGGUGCAGUUUUGAGCCUAAAGGGUAGAACAGUCCAUUGGUAGUGGUGAUUUGGUAUGCAAAAUCCUGUCUUAAGUUUGUCUCCAAGAUGGAUUCCUAAUUGCCAAAAUCCUACUUUCAAAUCAAACUUUGAGAAAAAUCUUGCUUGAGAAAGGUUGGAGAAUAUUGAAUUUCUGUUGGGUAGAGGAAACUUAUCAUCGAGCAGAAAAUGGUUGAGUGGUUGAUAGUUGAUCACUAGUCUUAAUUUGCCUCUUGUUUGCUCUGCUCUUUUGUUGACAUAAAAAGCUUGGCAUGCCCAUUGAGAAUUUGAUGGUUCAAUAUGCCCUUGAUGUAGCAAUUCCUUGCAUUCUUGUUGUGCUAAAUUUUGAUGUUCUGGAUUCAUACCUGAAUGGCUUGCCCUGGUAGGAUUGAUAUCGUUAUUAAGCUUGAAUGGAAGCUUAACAAAGAAUUCAAGAUUCUUCUAGAGUGGGUUUUCACUCUUAUGAAGAAAUUUUGAGUGUGAAUUAGCACAUGCCUUUUGCUUGAGAGUUUGAAUUAUCAGCUAGAUUUGGUCAUCUGGUUGCUAGAAAGAAUAAAUCCUGAGGAUUGGGAUAAAAAGUUUGAAGGAAUACUUGUAUCUGAUCCCAUUUGGAAGUAUUCUUAAGUGUUGACACUAAUGAUAGAUAUCAAAUCCAACAGCUAUGUCUUUUCCUGAUAGUUCAGAUCCUAAUACUUCGGUUAUGAAAGAACAUUGAGGGGAAAAAUUAGAUAGUGAUGGGUUUGUUGAUCAGAUGAGUUGUGAAGGUUUGGUCUAAGGCUAUUUUGAAGUGUCUAUCAAAAGGUAUCCAGAACUCUUCAGGUAAUAUUCUUGGAUUCAUCGUUGUUUCUACAACUCCAGUAUCAAAGAAGGCUAUUACUGGGAUAGGUUGGCUGUACUUGGUUAGAUAUAUGGAGGCUUGUAUAGAAGGUAUUGAGGUAUCAGAAAGGGUUUGAAAUUUUAAGAAAGGGGUGCUAGGUUGUGGUUGUAUCAUGAAAAAGUUUUCAGUGUCUGAAUCAAGAUAUUUUUCAGUGUCUGAGUCGAAAUUGAUUGUUUGAAAGGUAAACAAGGUUUUGUUUGAAGGUUCUUUUUCCAUGGAAAAGAUUGAUUCAAGAUUUUCUUCAUCCAAAUUGAUUCUAGUUUCUUGUUAAAUAGUUUGGAUAAUUUUUCAUUCUUCUUCUUGUUGGUAGGACAUUAUUUUACAAAAUGUCCUUGUUGAUUACAUAUGAAGCACUUUGUUGGUUUUGACUUUUUUCCUGGACAUCUUUUCCUGAGAUAUCUCCAUUUGAACCUAUUUCUUGGUUAUGCCUUUUUUAUUUUGAAUUUUCUAAAAUGCCUCUUCCUUUUUAUCUUGCAGUUGCAUUCUCGGGACUUUGGACAUUUUAUUUGCCAUUUUUUUCUUUCACAAGCUUUGUCCAAUUCUUUGUUUCCCUUGAGAUAAUCUUGGACCACCUUUCUUCGAUGGCAGAUGUCUUCAAGAGCAACAUGAAGUUCUUGUUGUAUUUCUCUAAGAGAGAGAGAGAAUGUCUUUUCUCUAUUGUUGUAAGGCUCUAGUGACUACUGUUUGAAUUGGAUCAGGUAAUGAAGAAAGAAAAGCUUGUUUCAAGCUUGCUGGGGCACCAAGAAUAUAAAAUAACUUUUGCAUCUUUUGGAAGUGUUUAUCGAGAUCUAUCUUUUUGAAAGAGUAGCAUUUUCUUUGGAAGAAUUCUUUCCUUUGUAAGGCUCUAAGAUCAUCAGGAUUUCCAAGAAAGUAUCUGUGAAGGAUUUGGAUUACCUGGCCAAAAUCUUGAAAUACCAAAAAUUGCAUCUGGUUUGCUUGAUUAAUAGUAUCUCACCAAUUUCUUAGGGUUCCAGUAAAUCUUGAAACAAAUUUCAUCCGAAUAGUGUAAUAACUAUUUUUUGAUAGCCUUUUAGUUUCAAGCCAAGAGUGGAACUCUUGAAACCUUUCUGCCCAUCGUGAUGGAGGAAUGUAAUCAAUUGUAAAUGUUAACUUUGAAACAGUAAGUGCUGCUGAGUUCUUGGGAACAUAAAUAUGUGAGACUUUUUCAUCUACAUCUAUUUCUUCAACUUUUACACCAGCUCUUGUUGUCAUGAAUUGUGAGGGAUUUUGAUAUUCCUCAGAAAUGUAAGAAAGUGUUGAUGAUUUUGCGUCUGAGGAUUCAUUUGAAUGACAUUCUGUGGUUUCAGAGGUUGUAGCAGAGGACAAAGUGUAGUGCUGUUGUAAGGCAGGUUUUGUGGAGAAAAUUUUUGAAACAGUGUUUUCAGUGUAUUUUUUGAGAAAAGAAGUGAGAGAAUUGUCCGUUUUCAUCAUCAUCGUCUUUGGGUCUGUUGUAGUAUUCUUGGCUAUUUCUAGUUUUUGGGGAAGUGGAUCAUUGCCAAUCAUCAAUCUCUUCCCUGGGGUUUUCUCAGAGAUAAUUUUUGAUUGAGCAGCAUCUUCUCGUUCCUUUUUACUUUUGUUCUUUUCUGCUUCUUGAGUCUUUUGUAAAGGUAAAAAAAAGUGACUUGUAUGGAUGGUGGUGGAAAAUCAAUUCUUGUGGCUGAUGGUUUUUUAGGUGAUGGUAGAGUUCUUGUAUUUAAUCCAAAUGGAUCAUUACGUUCUGGUGAUGGAAUUCUUUUGGUUUCUUAGAGGAGUUUUAUCUGAGAUCUAAGCUUUUGUAUUUUCAACUCCUUUUGUUCUUUGUAUAGUUAGAA